rfam:Rhizopogon vinicolor AM-OR11-026 unplaced genomic scaffold K503scaffold_283, whole genome shotgun sequence.
GGCGAUAUAGUGUAGUGGUUAUCACUCGGGAUUCUGAUUCUUCAUGACUUCCCGAAACCCAGGUUCGAGCCCUGGUAUCGCCU